rnacentral:rRNA from 1 species
UGGGGAAUUUUGGACAAUGGGGGCAACCCUGAUCCAGCCAUGCCGCGUGAGUGAAGAAGGCCUUCGGGUUGUAAAGCUCUUUCGGCCGGGAAGAAAUCGCAUGGGCUAAUACCCUGUGCGGAUGACGGUACCGGCAUAAGAAGCACCGGCUAACUACGUGCCAGCAGCCGCGGUAAUACGUAGGGUGCGAGCGUUAAUCGGAAUUACUGGGCGUAAAGCGUGCGCAGGCGGUUUUUUAAGACAGNCGUGAAAUCCCCGGGCUCAACCUGGGAACUGCGCUUGUGACUGGAAGGCUAGAGUAUGGCAGAGGGGGGUGGAAUUCCACGUGUAGCAGUGAAAUGCGUAGAGAUGUGGAGGAACACCAAUGGCGAAGGCAGCCCCCUGGGCCAAUACUGACGCUCAUGCACGAAAGCGUGGGUAGCAAACAGGAUUAGAUACCCUGGUAGUCCACGCCCUAAACGAUGUCAACUAGGUGUUGGGUGGGUAA